UCUUCAUUGGUCUAGUGGUCAUGAUUGUGAGCCUCCUUCGCCUGCGCCGCGGGAGACCUGGGUUCGAUUCCCAGAUGGAGAG
rnacentral:tRNA from 1 species